rnacentral:rRNA from 1 species
AGCUGGCGGCGUGCUUACACAUGCAAGUCGAGCGGAAAGGCCCUUCGGGGUACUCGAGCGGCGAACGGGUGAGUAACACGUGAGCAACCUGCCCUAGGCUUUGGGAUAACCCCGGGAAACCGGGGCUAAUACCGGAUAGGACCUGGCGUCGCAUGGCGCUUGGUGGAAAGUUUUUCGGCCUGGGAUGGGCUCGCGGCCUAUCAGCUUGUUGGUGGGGUGAUGGCCUACCAAGGCGACGACGGGUAGCCGGCCUGAGAGGGCGACCGGCCACACUGGGACUGAGACACGGCCCAGACUCCUACGGGAGGCAGCAGUGGGGAAUAUUGCACAAUGGGCGGAAGCCUGAUGCAGCGACGCCGCGUGAGGGAUGACGGCCUUCGGGUUGUAAACCUCUUUCAGCAGGGACGAAGCGCAAGUGACGGUACCUGCAGAAGAAGCGCCGGCCAACUACGUGCCAGCAGCCGCGGUAAGACGUAGGGCGCGAGCGUUGUCCGGAUUUAUUGGGCGUAAAGAGCUCGUAGGCGGCUUGUCGCGUCGACUGUGAAAACCCGCGGCUCAACUGCGGGCCUGCAGUCGAUACGGGCAGGCUAGAGUUCGGUAGGGGAGACUGGAAUUCCUGGUGUAGCGGUGAAAUGCGCAGAUAUCAGGAGGAACACCGGUGGCGAAGGCGGGUCUCUGGGCCGAUACUGACGCUGAGGAGCGAACG